UACGAAGGGUGCAAGCGUUACUCGGAAUUACUGGGCGUAAAGCGUGCGUAGGUGGUGAGUUAAGUCUGUCGUGAAAGCCCCGGGCUCAACCUGGGAAUGGCGAUGGAUACUGGAUCGCUAGAGUGCGGUAGAGGAGAGUGGAAUUCCCGGUGUAGCAGUGAAAUGCGUAGAGAUCGGGAGGAACAUCAGUUGCGAAGGCGGCUCUCUGGACCAGCACUGACACUGAGGCACGAAAGCGUGGGGAGCAAACAGG
rnacentral:rRNA from 1 species